rnacentral:rRNA from 1 species
UACGUAGGGGGCGAGCGUUAUCCAGAUUUACUGGGCGUAAAGCGCGUGUAGGCGGCUGGUUAGGGGUGAUGUGAAAUCCUCGGGCUCAACCCGAGAACUGCAUUGCAAACCGGCCUGGCUAGAGUGCAGGAGAGGGAAGCGGAAUUCCAGGUGUAGCGGUGAAAUGCGUAGAUAUCAGGAGGAACACCGGUGGCGAAAGCGCUCGUCUGGCCCAAUACUGACGCUGAUGCGCGAAAGCUAGGGGAGCAAACAGG